rnacentral:misc_RNA from 1 species
GUGAAUCAUCGAAUCUUUGAACGCAAAUUGCACUCUCUGGGAUUCCGGAGAGUAUGCCAGUGUGAGGGUCAGUUUAAAUAAAAUUCGGUGUGGUUGCUGCCUUUCGUGGUGACGCACCGGAUGUGGUUCGACCUGCCUUCGGUUAAGUGACCUAAAAUUCUGCAUGAUUUUUUCGAACGUAUUUAAAUGAUUUUACGUACGUUUGCGAUAUCGAAUACUAGUUUCAGACAUCUUCAUGAUCUGCGCCCAUAAUUUCACAUCAAU